AUAAACCGGAGGAAGGUGGGGACGACGUCAAGUCAUCAUGGCCCUUACGAGUAGGGCUACACACGUGCUACAAUGGCGCAUACAGAGGGCAGCAAGCUAGCGAUAGUGAGCGAAUCCCAAAAAGUGCGUCGUAGUCCGGAUUGGAGUCUGCAACUCGACUCCAUGAAGUCGGAAUCGCUAGUAAUCGUAGAUCAGAAUGCUACGGUGAAUACGUUCCCGGGCCUUGUACACACCGCCCGUCACACCAUGGGAGUGGGCUGCAAAAGAAGUGGGUAGUUUAACCUUUCGGGGAGGACGCUCACCACUUUGUGGUUCAUGACUGGGGUGAAGUCGUAACAAGGUAGCCCUAGGGGAACCUGGGGCUGGAUCACCUCCUUAU
rnacentral:rRNA from 1 species